UACGAUGGGGGCGAGCGUUGUUCGGAAUUAUUGGGCGUAAAGGGUGCGUAGGCGGUUUGGUAAGUCUUAUGUGAAAUCUACAGGCUCAACUUGUAGUCUGCAUGAGAAACUGCCGGGCUUGAGUAUGGGAGAGGUGAGUGGAAUUCCUGGUGUAGCGGUGAAAUGCGUAGAUGUCAGGAGGAACACCUGUGGCGAAAGCGGCUCACUGGACCAUAACUGACGCUGAUGCACGAAAGCUAGGGGAGCAAACAGG
rnacentral:rRNA from 1 species